UACGUAGGGUGCGAGCGUUGUCCGGAUUUAUUGGGCGUAAAGGGCGCGUAGGUGGCCCGGUGAGUCUUUGGUGAAAGCGCGGGGCUCAACCCUGCGUCGGCCAGGGAUACUGCCGCGGCUCGAGCACUGUAGAGGCAGGCGGAAUUCCGGGUGUAGCGGUGGAAUGCGUAGAGAUCCGGAAGAACACCGGUGGCGAAGGCGGCCUGCUGGGCAGUGGCUGACGCUGAGGCGCGACAGCGUGGGGAGCAAACAGG
rnacentral:rRNA from 1 species